rnacentral:lncRNA from 1 species
UUGGUGCCAAGCACCCCUCGAUCAACUAACUGAAUUCCACCAUACACUGCUUACCAGCACUGCUACUAACUGAAAAUUUCUACUAUCCCUUAGCUGCCUUCCGGAUGAACCGAGACCACCCUAGUCACUACUGAUCUAUCAAUAUCUGGAUUAUCGGCUCCCACCGGUUGCUAGCCCCAACACAAACUUCUUGUCGCUCCCAGCGACUUCCAAGGAAACUUAGGCCCCAUUUGAUAGUUGCUGACUGAGAAAGUUAUGACUGGGAAAGGUCUGUAUGGGUAAGAAAUCCUGACUGAGUAAGAAAUCUUGUUGUUUGAUUGUACAUCUGACUGAAUGUGCUGAGUGAUGAAAAAUGACCAUUUUACCCUGCUGUUAUAUAUAGUGAUGGAUUAAAUUGUUGAAUAAUUAUAAAAACAAGUACAUCCAAACUUCCAACUGUCCCAACUAACCAUAUAAAUAUUAAAUGGAAAAUGACCCUCUAAAUUUCCACAUUUAUACUCUUUCCCAGGAUUAUCAAUUAUCAUCGACUAAUCCAUACUAGUCUAUACAAAUAUAAAUAUACAUUUUUAAGAAUUACUGUUUUGGAAGAAAAACUAUUUACUUGAUAAAAAACAACAACAUACCUAGGAAAUUCCAUUAUAAUGGGAUAGGAAGGUAGUCGUGUAUCCAUAUAAAAAAAAAAAAAACUUUGUCACAAUUAACAAAGAUGAUCUCUUACAUAAAAUAUUUACUUUAUGCAUCUCAUAAUUUGUAACUCAUCAUUAGUGUUUUAAUUGCUUAAACUCACAUAAUCCAAAUUAAUGUCAUCACAUAAAAUGAUACAGCAUAUUUGUUUUGAAUUUGAGUUUGAAAGUGUGAAUCUUAACUAGUCAAAUAGCCUAUUGAAGAGAUUUUGGGUGUUAGGUGAAAUCAUGUAUGGAGAAAGAAGAUUUGAAGGGCUUUGCAUAAGAAAAUUAUUAUUCUCCAAUAAUUAUAGUUUCUGUUGCUGUGCAAAACAGGGCUUAAAUUAGGAAAAGAACAAUUUUUUAUUUCAAAACUAAUUUUUGAUUUCUGAUUUCACAAAAAGGGCAACAACUCAAAACAAAUCAAAUCCUAAAACAUUAACCUCAAAAAAUAUUACGAAGAAAGGGAAAGCUUCCUGUUGUGACUUGCUUCUAUGUAAUUUGAUAUAGGGAAACAACUCAAAACAGAUCAAAACAAAUAUGACACACAAGAAAAGGGCAACAACUCAAAUCAAAUCAAUUUUUUAUUUCAAAACCAAUUAUUAUUCUUCCUGUUGUUUCUAUGGAAUUUGAUACAGGGAAAGCUACAACUUUGUGAACAACAAUGGCAAACAAGAAAUAAAAGUCUAGCUCUCAAGCAUAACCGAUUUCAAAAAUUAUUAAGAAGAAAGGGAAAGCUUCAAUUUGAUACAGGUAAUUAAAAUUUCAGAUUUAUUAGAGCAAAUCGGAUUCUGAUUUUAUACAUUAUACAUCAGAUUGCAUAACAUGAUAGCAUAAGCGAUUCUGAUUUCAAAUAGUAUUAACAUAACAGGAGAAGAUUAGCUUACCCGUUUUUGAUGAAUUACAGUGAUCUUGAAUGACAGGGAAAGCGUGAGAAAUUGCUCGGAGAUGGCGAGUUCUCUUUAGCCGGCGAGAUGGUGGCGAGACGGCAGCUAGAUUGCAGCUAGAUGGCAGCGACGAGUGAGAUGGCGGUUAGCUGUCGAUGGAGGAGGCGGCGGUUUUUGUGUCUGCGCUUUUUUUUAGGUUACGAUUGAAAGAAUGGGCAUCGGAUAACGAGGGAAGAAAGAUAACAGAGGGGUAGAAGCGUCC